rnacentral:rRNA from 1 species
UGGGGAAUAUUGGACAAUGGGCGCAAGCCUGAUCCAGCCAUGCCGCGUGAGUGACGAAGGCCUUAGGGUUGUAAAGCUCUUUUGGCGGGGACGAUAAUGACGGUACCCGCAGAAUAAGCCCCGGCUAACUUCGUGCCAGCAGCCGCGGUAAUACGAAGGGGGCUAGCGUUGUUCGGAAUCACUGGGCGUAAAGCGCACGUAGGCGGAUUUGUAAGUCAGGGGUGAAAUCCCGGGGCUCAACCUCGGAACUGCCUUUGAUACUGAUAGUCUUGAGAUCGGGAGAGGUGAGUGGAAUUCCUAGUGUAGAGGUGAAAUUCGUAGAUAUUAGGAAGAACACCAGUGGCGAAGGCGGCUCACUGGCCCGAUACUGACGCUGGAGGUGACGAAAGCGGUAGGGGAGACAAACGAG